rnacentral:rRNA from 1 species
GAUGAACGCUGGCGGCGUGCCUAAUACAUGCAAGUCGAGCGAACAGAUGAGGAGCUUGCUCCUCUGACGUUAGCGGCGGACGGGUGAGUAACACGUGGAUAACCUACCUAUAAGACUGGGAUAACUUCGGGAAACCGGAGCUAAUACCGGAUAAUAUAUUGAACCGCAUGGUUCAAUAGUGAAAGACGGUUUUGCUGUCACUUAUAGAUGGAUCCGCGCCGCAUUAGCUAGUUGGUAAGGUAACGGCUUACCAAGACAACGAUGCGUAGCCGACCUGAGAGGGUGAUCCGCCACACUGGAACUGAGACACGGUCCAGACUCCUACGGGAGGCAGCAGUAGGGAAUCUUCCGCAAUGGGCGAAAGCCUGACGGAGCAACGCCGCGUGAGUGAUGAAGGUCUUCGGAUCGUAAAACUCUGUUAUUAGGGAAGAACAAAUGUGUAAGUAACUAUGCACGUCUUGACGGUACCUAAUCAGAAAGCCACGGCUAACUACGUG